rnacentral:lncRNA from 1 species
CCUGAGACACCGCUUUGUCCUCUCAGGGUGGUGAUCUUCUGUGACCGCUGUGAGGAGUGGUUCCUGGGUGUUUCUGAGGCUCGAGGGCAGCCCUUGGAGAAGAACAGGGAUCCAGCACAAGGGGACUGCAGAAGCCACCGAUGACCAGGAGCCUGGGCGCAGACCCAGAGGUGCUGACGACAUAGAACGCAGGAGCAGCGGGCCAGGCACGCAGAGUGCCUGUGCCAAGCAGGGGAGCCAGGGCGGAAGUGAGGAGACUUCAAGCUGCAGCGGUGAGAAGCCCACAAGGACGGCCCUGCCUGCCUUGAGUCACCACGUCCAAAUCCGCUCCUUGGGUUGGUCAUCAGUGAGAAACAGAAACACCUUCCAGAGCCUGUGGAGCUGGACAGAAUACAUGAGAAGGCCCCCCUGGACACGCCAGGCCGUCACCGCCUCCCUGCAGCCCCAUGGUCCAAGAGGAAGCCCCCGAAAAGCCAGCCCUCUUCUGCAGCUGUGGGGACCCCAGCAGCUCUGCUGCCUCUCUCUGAGGCCCCUGUUUGGAAAACACUCUCCCCAGGGGCCACCUACAGCAUCACCACUCCUGCCACAGCAGUGCCAGCUCCUGAGGCAGCUUCAC